rnacentral:rRNA from 1 species
AACGAACGCUGGCGGCAGGCUUAACACAUGCAAGUCGAACGCACCGCAAGGUGAGUGGCAGACGGGUGAGUAACGCGUGGGAACGUGCCCUUCAGUUCGGGAUAACCCAGGGAAACUUGGGCUAAUACCGGAUACGUGCGAGAGCAGAAAGAUUUUAUCGCUGAAGGAUCGGCCCGCGUCUGAUUAGCUAGUUGGUGGGGUAAUGGCCCACCAAGGCGACGAUCAGUAGCUGGUCUGAGAGGAUGAUCAGCCACAUUGGGACUGAGACACGGCCCAAACUCCUACGGGAGGCAGCAGUGGGGAAUAUUGGACAAUGGGCGCAAGCCUGAUCCAGCCAUGCCGCGUGAGUGAUGAAGGCCUUAGGGUUGUAAAGCUCUUUCGUCCGGGACGAUAAUGACGGUACCGGAAGAAGAAGCCCCGGCUAACUUCGUGC